CAGUAGCCGCGGUAAUACGUAGGGUGCGAGCGUUAAUCGGAAUUCCUGGGCGUAAAGCGUGCGCAGGCGGUUGUGUAAGACAGGUGUGAAAUCCCCGGGCUUAACCUGGGAACUGCGCUUGUGACUGCACAGCUAGAGUAUGGCAGAGGGGGGUGGAAUUCCACGUGUAGCAGUGAAAUGCGUAGAGACGUGGAGGAACACCGAUGGCGAAGGCAGCCCCCUGGGCCAAUACUGACGCUCAUGCACGAAAGCGUGGGGAGCAAACAGGAUUAGAUACCCCCGUAGUCCCUGUCUCUUAUAC
rnacentral:rRNA from 1 species